UAUCAUCAACGUGAAACAAGCGCAAUAUUUAAGGUUGGUAUACUACAAUGCAUUACAGUUUCCUAGCUUGUUAUUUAGUCAAAUUAUUAUCCGCUUUGUUGUUUUUAACCUUGUACUGUAAUUUUUACCGUAUUGUGUGUGUCUGUGUACUGUGUCACUGUGAUACAUAUGUACAUGCUUUGAGUUAAACAAAUUGCUUAAUAAAUUUUUGCUGAAGUAUGAUACGUGUUUGUAUCUAGUUGUGGAUAGAUUUUUACAUAUAUGUGCAUACAAUAGUGAUAUUUUUCAAUUUUCAUCUGUAAAAUAUUGCCAUAUUUGUGUGUUGUUCUAUAAAUAUUACUGUAAAUAGUGACACUUUUGCAUUAGAUUUCUAAUUUUAGAGAUUACAGCUUAUGUACAAAAUAAUAAAAUAAAAAUUUCCUUGUUAUGAUUUUGUAGAAAGAGAUCUACUUGAGUGGUUGUCUGGUCUUGAAUCUGGUCAGCAUGGAUAUGGUAAUGAAGGUGAUAGGGCAGAAAUUGGUGACCAGUUAAGUGAUGAGGAUGAAAGUGACGAGGACAAAAUCACCCAUGCUGUACCAUUCAAGUGCAUCGGUGCUGCUCAUGAGAAAAAUUACCAACAUCAACAGCAUACUUUGCUCUUCAUGGACAAGAUAAACCAGUGAAUGUAAGAAUACGGCCAGAGCCAUUGAAUCCAAUGGACCCAAGUGCAAUUGAUGUAGACUAUGGAACUGGAUGGACACACAUUGGUUAUCUUGCUUCUCAACUAUGCG